CUCGGUGGUUCGCGCGGGGUGGACCCACCCGUUCCCAUCCCGAACACGGUCGUGAAACGCCCCAGCGCCGACGAUACUGCCCGGGCAACCGGGUGGGACAAUAGGCCACUGCCGGGC
rnacentral:rRNA from 2 species